rnacentral:rRNA from 1 species
GUUAAGCGACUAAGCGUACACGGUGGAUGCCCUGGCAGUCAGAGGCGAUGAAGGACGUGCUAAUCUGCGAUAAGCGUCGGUGAGGUGAUAUGAACCGUUAUAACCGGCGAUUUCCGAAUGGGGAAACCCAGUGUGUUUCGACACACUAUCAUUAACUGAAUCCAUAGGUUAAUGAGGCGAACCGGGGGAACUGAAACAUCUAAGUACCCCGAGGAAAAGAAAUCAACCGAGAUUCCCCCAGUAGCGGCGAGCGAACGGGGAGGAGCCCAGAGCCUGAAUCAGUGUGUGUGUUAGUGGAAGCGUCUGGAAAGGCGCGCGAUACAGGGUGACAGCCCCGUACACAAAAAUGCACAUGCUGUGAGCUCGAUGAGUAGGGCGGGACACGUGGUAUCCUGUCUGAAUAUGGGGGGACCAUCCUCCAAGGCUAAAUACUCCUGACUGACCGAUAGUGAACCAGUACCGUGAGGGAAAGGCGAAAAGAACCCCGGCGAGGGGAGUGAAAAAGAACCUGAAACCGUGUACGUACAAGCAGUGGGAGCCUCUUAAUGGGGUGACUGCGUACCUUUUGUAUAAUGGGUCAGCGACUUAUAUUCUGUAGCAAGGUUAACCGAAUAGGGGAGCCGAAGGGAAACCGAGUCUUAACUGGGCG